CAGCCGCCGCGGGAAUACGAGGGGGGCAAGCGUUGUUUGGAUUUAUUGGGCGUAAAGGGUGCGUAGGCGGUUUGGCAAGUCUUGUGUGAAAUCUUCGGGCUCAACCCGAAGCCUGCACGAGAAACUACUGGGCUUGAGUAUUGGAGAGGUGAGUGGAAUUUCCGGUGUAGCGGUGAAAUGCGUAGAUAUCGGAAGGAACACCUGUGGCGAAAGCGGCUCACUGGACAAUAACUGACGCUGAUGCACGAAAGCUAGGGGAGCAAACAGGAUUAGAUACCCCGGUAGUCCCUGUCUCUUAUAC
rnacentral:rRNA from 1 species